UGCACUAGUGUCUGUAGUAGCUCCUCUGCUUUUCUGUGCACUGAAAUGUUCUUGUUUUUAAUACCCCCCCUUUCCGCCCCGUGGUGAAGGUGCCUGGGUAAAUGGAUCAAAACCUGGUGGGCAACUGGGUUAGGAAGAGGUGAAGGUGAAGAUCAAUAGAGGUUUUAGGGCUGGCUGUGUCUGUUGUGCUGGGUUUGUGUGACUGUGCCCAGAGGGCGGAGUUCCUGCACAUUCCUACCUCACCGGAGAACCUGCCCUCAACUCCACUUCAGCUACUCCAGAGAGAUGGGACCCUCCAGAAGAAACCUGCCCAGCAAUCCUUCCCGCCAGAAGGAUGCCAGGAGAAACUGCCUCUACCUGCAAGAAAGGCGCACGAUGGCAUUUGGGGAUAGGAGUCCUCCGACGGCACCGGAUCACUGGAGGCAAACAUCGAAUUAAUUGGAUCUCAAUGACUGAGGUAUCUGUGGAGGAAGAAGGUGACGUGACGAGAAAAGCCUGACAGCCAAAGUGGGAACUGUCCGGGAGAAGGAUCCGUGAUGAAUGAGGUCUGCGAAGUCAUGAUGCACAAGCAGCUCAGGACAGUGUGCUGGCAUCAAAUGCCUGGUUUUGUUCGCUAGAACCAAAAAGAAAAAUGGGGGGGGUGGGGGGGUGAAGGCGGGGUGAGAGAUGAGGGAUACUGGGGAGCGGGUCAGUGAGGAUUGGGAGUGAGAGAUCGGAGAAGUUAGUGGCUGUAGUGUUAGCGUGAGUUCAUCGUCUCCUCGGGAGAAGGAGAAGCUGCGUUUGUCAAACGGGCUAGAGCCCUGACGAGAGGCAGAGGCGCCAUCGGAGCGCUCCGAGAUGCGGCUGUGAAAUCUGGAUUCUGGCCGACUCGAGGGACAGUACUUUACAAAAUAAUCGGUCCCAAAAUCUUCCAGGCAGGUGUUCGAGGUUAAGUCAGGCUCUUCGAUAAUCGCCGACUCAUCGUAGGGAACAAUUCUGCCCCGGGGCAGGGGAUAGGAUGGGAAAGGCGGUUGCGAAGUCGGAGAGACAUUACUACAUAAACUAAAAUCCUACUAAAAUUGCAAGCAUUAUUUCAUUCCUGGAGUAAUUUCGUGCAGAACUGGAGGUUCUUCCUCGGGUUUGGCGGGAAAGGCUGUGGUGUGUAACUUCUUGAAUUGUUUUUGACCGUGCACUGUAUUGCCAUAAUGCCAAUAAACGCUUUAAACGCGUCUUA